rnacentral:rRNA from 1 species
UACAGAGGCCUCGAGCGUUAGGCGGAAUCACUGGGCUUAAAGCGUGUGUAGGCGGACUUCUAAGUACCUUGUGAAAUCCCACGGCUUACCCGUGGAACGGCUGGGUAUACUGGGAGUCUUGAGCCACCUAGGGGCGAGUGGAACAAAUGGUGGAGCGGUGAAAUGCGUAGAUAUCGUCUGGAACGCCGAAGGUGAAAACAGCUCGCUGGGGCUGCGCUGACGCUGAGACACGAAAGCCAGGGGAGCGAACGGG